rnacentral:rRNA from 1 species
UACGUAGGGUGCGAGCGUUAAUCGGAAUUACUGGGCGUAAAGCGUGCGUAGGCGGUUCUCCAAGUCCGUUGAGAAAGCCCUGGGCUCAACCUGGGAAUGGCAUUGGAUACUGGCGACCUAGAGUGCGGUAGAGGGGUGUGGAAUUCCCGGUGUAGCAGUGAAAUGCGUAGAUAUCGGGAGGAACAUCUGUGGCGAAGGCGACACCCUGGACCAGCACUGACACUGAGGCACGAAAGCGUGGGGAGCAAACAGG